rnacentral:rRNA from 1 species
UAAUACGUAGGGGGCUAGAGUUGUCCGGAUUUACUGGGUGUAAAGGGUGCUCAGGCGGAUUUGUAAGUCAGAGGUGAAAUCCCAAAGCUUAACUUUGGAGCUGCCUUUGAUACUGCAAGUCUUGAGUGUGAGAGAGGGUAAUGGAAUAUCUGGUGUAGCAGUGAAAUGCGUAGAUAUCAGAUAGAACACCAAUGGCGAAGGCAGUUACCUGGCUCAAUACUGACGCUAAAGCACGAAAGUGUGGGGAGCAAACAGG